rnacentral:misc_RNA from 1 species
CUCAGUCACCUAGUACCCUUUCACAGAUCUAACUAUUCCACAGCCACACUGCCACCGCUAGCUGCCUCGCCGGCAUUAAGCGACCCUCCUCUCAACUUCGGUUGUCGAAUGUCGCCUAGAACUCAAGGUCCAAAUAGGUCAUUGACAACCUGAAUUUCAACCGAUUGGAGUUUCACAUCUUUCGGCCAUCUGACCCUCCACAACCCUUCUCCAGCCACCGAUCUACUCAUCUCUGUUGUCAGAACUGCCAUCCGACUUUCCAACUGGAAGAAUCCCUUUCGGGUCACAAACCCAUCUGGGCAGGCAAGGUAAGCUCACACAACUUACUGUGAGUUAGAAGCACCUAAACUACAUCUAUUUCUGCCACGUCAACAACUGCUAUGUCAUCUCCCUUUGGCCACAACACCGCCACAUUAGCAUUCCAGCCAACAAAACAGACAAUUUCCUCCUUUGCUAAUUUCAACGUCUUGGUUCCAUUUUUAACCUCCUUUCACAACAAAAGCUACUCUAAACUGCUGAAAUUUUGACUUUUUCUUCAAGUGAGGUAUGUUUUCUUAAUUCAAAUACCAUAGAAACUUAUAUUGAGAGCCCAGAAGAGGAGAUCAAUUAU